rnacentral:rRNA from 1 species
AUGGCGGGCCUCGGGUUCGAGGAGACGGAGCUCCGGCUCGGCCUGCCAGGCGGCGGCAACGAGGCCGAGGAGGCGGCCGCCGCGGUGAGGAGCUCCGGCAAGAGGGGCUACGCCGAGACCAUCGACCUCGUGCUGAAGCUGGAGCCUGCGUCGGCGGCCGCGCCGCCGUCUGGGGACGACGAGGAAGUGGCCGACGGUGUCGCGGAGGCGCAGCCGCCGUCUCCGGCUGCUGUCGACGGGCAGUUGAAGCGGUCGCCGAGCCAGAGCAGCGUGGUCACCACCGCGCAGCCAGACGCGGACCCCGAGAAGCCGCGCGCGCCCAAGGCGCAGGCGGUGGGGUGGCCGCCGGUGCGGUCGUUCCGGAGGAACAUGCUGGCGGCGGCGCUGGUGAAGGUGAGCAUGGACGGCGCGCCCUACCUGCGCAAGGUGGACAUGGGCACCUACAAGAGCUACCAGGAGCUGGAGAGGAUGUUCAGCUCCUUCACCAUCGGCAACACUCCGACUCAGGGGAUGACGGGCAUGAACGAGAGCAAGCUGGUGGACCUGCUCAGCGGCUCCGACUACGUGCCCACCUACCAGGACAAGGACGGCGACUGGAUGCUCGUCGGCGACGUCCCCUGGGAGAUGUUCGUCGCGUCGUGCAAGCGCCUCCGGAUAAUGAAAGGAUCAGAAGCCAUCGGCCUCGGUCGGUGCCCUCUUAAUUUUCAGAUUUACGUUUGCAUGCUCGAUGGCCGUUUGCUAACUCCCUUUGUCUUACGGUUUUUCAGCGCCAAGGGCAAUGGAGAAAUGCAAGAGCAGGAGCUGAUCGACGUAGUGUCCAUUCCAAGAUUACGACUCUGCUUGCCCCCACUCUGUACCAUAAUAUACUACUGCUACUUCGCUACGAUCCGGUCAAAGUUCCGUUAUCGCCUCGAUUAG